UCUUCAUGGCAUGCGGUAAGGAAAUGGUCCAUUGCUUCAGUGUAUUUCUCGUUUACAAGAUGGCGUUGGCAGCAAAUUGCUUUAUUUAGCUUAUCACAACAAGCUACUGGCUUCUCUGUGGGACAAAGACUCGACUCUAUGGACAUUGAGUAAUUCUGUAAACCUAUUAGAUUUUUUAAAAAAAUAUUUGUGUUUAGCCAAUUAGUCAUAAGUGUUGAUUAUAUCGG
rnacentral:lncRNA from 1 species